GACGAACGCUGGCGGCAUGCCUAAUACAUGCAAGUCGAGCGAACAGAUGAAGUGCUUGCGCUUCUGACGUUAGCGGCGAACGGGUGAGUAACACGUAAGGAAUCUACCUAUAAGCGGGGGAUAACAUUCGGAAACGGGUGCUAAUACCGCAUAAUAUCUUCUUCCGCAUGGAAGAAGAUUGAAAGACGGCUCUGCUGUCACUUAUAGAUGACCUUGCGGUGCAUUAGUUAGUUGGUGGGGUAAUGGCUUACCAAGACGAUGAUGCAUAGCCGACCUGAGAGGGUGAUCGGCCACAUUGGGACUGAGACACGGCCCAAACUCCUACGGGAGGCAGCAGUAGGGAAUCUUCCGCAAUGGGCGAAAGCCUGACGGAGCAAUGCCGCGUGAGUGAAGAAGGCCUUCGGGUCGUAAAACUCUGUUAUAAGAGAAGAACAAAUUGUAGAGUAACUGCUACAGUCUUGACGGUAUCUUAUCAGAAAGCCACGGCUAACUACGUGCCAGCCGCCGCCGUAA
rnacentral:rRNA from 1 species